GAUGAACGCUGGCGGCGUGCCUAAUACAUGCAAGUCGAGCGAACGGACGAGAAGCUUGCGUCUCUGAUGUUAGCGGCGGACGGGUGAGUAACACGUGGAUAACCUACCUAUAAGACUGGGAUAACUUCGGGAAACCGGAGCUAAUACCGGAUAAUAUUUUGAACCGCAUGGUUCAAAAGUGAAAGACGGUCUUGCUGUCACUUAUAGAUGGAUCCGCGCUGCAUUAGCUAGUUGGUAAGGUAACGGCUUACCAAGGCAACGAUGCAUAGCCGACCUGAGAGGGUGAUCGGCCACACUGGAACUGAGACACGGUCCAGACUCCUACGGGAGGCAGCAGUAGGGAAUCUUCCGCAAUGGGCGAAAGCCUGACGGAGCAACGCCGCGUGAGUGAUGAAGGUCUUCGGAUCGUAAAACUCUGUUAUUAGGGAAGAACAUAUGUGUAAGUAACCGUGCACAUCUUGACGGUACCUAAUCAGAAAGCCACGGCUAACUACGUG
rnacentral:rRNA from 1 species